rnacentral:lncRNA from 1 species
AUGGAACUGAGAGGAGACUGCACUGGGGGCCCUGCUCUCCCCUCCCUUCUGGGGGGCCCUGCCGCUGGGGGCCCUGCUCUCCCCUCCCUUCUGGGGGGCCCUGCCGCGGGGGGCCUGCUCUCCCCUCCCUUCUGGGGGGCCCUGCCGCUGGGGGCCCUGCCUCUCCCCCUCCUUCUGGGGGGCCCUGCCGCUGGGGGCCCUGCCUCUCCCCCUCCUUCUGGGGGGCCCUGCCGCUGGGGGCCUUGCUCUCCCCUCCCUUCUGGGGGGCCCUGCCGCUGGGGGCCCUGCUCUCCCCUCCCUUCUGGGGGGCCCUGCCGCUGGGGGCCCUGCUCUCCCCUCCCUUCUGGGGGGGCCCUGCGCUGGGGGCCCUGCCGCUGGGGGCCCUGCUCUCCCCUCCCUUCUGGGGGGCCCUGCCGCUGGGGGGCCUGCUCUCCCCUCCCUUCUGGGGGGCCCUGCCCCUGGGGGCCUGCUCUCCCCUCCCUUCUGGGGGGCCCUGCCGCUGGGGGCCUGCUCUCCCCUCCCUUCUGGGGGGCCUGCUCUCCCCUCCCUUCUGGGGGACCCUGCCGCUGGGGGCCUGCUCUCCCCUCCUUUCUGGGGGACCCUGCGCUGGGGGCCUGCCUCUCCCCCUCCCUCUGGGGGGGCCCUGCCGCUGGGGGCCCUGGCCGCUGGGGGCCUUGCUCUCCCCUCCCUUCUGGGGGGCCCUGCCCCUGGGGGCCUGCCUCUCCCCCUCCCUUCUGGGGGGCCCUGCCGCUGGGGGCCUGCCUCUCCCCCUCCCUUUUGGGGGGCCCUGCUCUCCCCUCCCUUCUGGGGGACCCUGCCGCUGGGGGGCCUGCUCUCCCCUCCUUUCUGGGGGACCCUGCCGCUGGGGGCCCUGCUCUCCCCUCCCUUCUGGGGGGCCCUGCCGCUGGGGGCCCUGCUCUCCCCUCCCUUCUGGGGGGCCCUGCCGCUGGGGGCCUGCUCUCCCCUCCCUUUGGGGGGGCCCUGCCGCUGGGGGCCUGCUCUCCCCUCCCUUCUGGGGGGCCCUGCCGCUGGGGGCCUGCUCUCCCCUCCUUCUGGGGGGCCCUGCUCUCCCCUCCCUUCUGGGGGGCCUGCCGCUGGGGGCCCUGCCGCUGGGGGCCUGCUCUCCCCUCCUUUCUGGGGGACCCUGCCGCUGGGGGCCUGCCGCUGGGGGCCCUGCUCUCCCCUCCCUUCUGGGGGGCCCUGCCGCUGGGGGCCUGCUCUCCCCUCCCUUCUGGGGGGCCCUGCCCCUGGGGGCCUGCUCUCCCCUCCCUUCUGGGGGGCCCUGCCGCUGGGGGCCUGCUCUCCCCUCCCUUCUGGGGGGCCCUGCUCUCCCCUCCCUUCUGGGGGACCCGUAAAUUUAGCUCGUGA